rnacentral:rRNA from 1 species
GGUCAAGUGAAGAAGCGCAUACGGUGGAUGCCUUGGCAGUCAGAGGCGAUGAAAGACGUGGUAGCCUGCGAAAAGCUUCGGGGAGUCGGCAAACAGACUUUGAUCCGGAGAUCUCUGAAUGGGGGAACCCACCUAGGAUAACCUAGGUAUCUUGUACUGAAUCCAUAGGUGCAAGAGGCGAACCAGGGGAACUGAAACAUCUAAGUACCCUGAGGAAAAGAAAUCAACCGAGAUUCCCUUAGUAGUGGCGAGCGAACGGGGAUUAGCCCUUAAGCUUCAUUGAUUUUAGCGGAACGCUCUGGAAAGUGCGGCCAUAGUGGGUGAUAGCCCCGUACGCGAAAGGAUCUUUGAAGUGAAAUCGAGUAGGACGGAGCACGAGAAACUUUGUCUGAACAUGGGGGGACCAUCCUCCAAGGCUAAAUACUACUGACUGACCGAUAGUGAACCAGUACCGUGAGGGAAAGGCGAAAAGAACCCCGGAGAGGGGAGUGAAAUAGAACCUGAAACCGUAUGCGUACAAGCAGUGGGAGCCUACUUGUUAGGUGACUGCGUACCUUUUGUAUAAUGGGUCAGCGACUUAUAUUCAGUGGCAAGCUUAACCGUAUAGGGUAGGCGUAGCGAAAGCGAGUCUUAAUAGGGCGUUUAGUCGCUGGGUAUAGACCCGAAACCGGGCGAUCUAUCCAUGAGCAGGUUGAAGGUUAGGUAACACUGACUGGAGGACCGAACCCACUCCCGUUGAAAAGGUAGGGGAUGACUUGUGGAUCGGAGUGAAAGGCUAAUCAAGCUCGGAGAUAGCUGGUUCUCCUCGAAAGCUAUUUAGGUAGCGCCUCAUGUAUCACUCUGGGGGGUAGAGCACUGUUUCGGCUAGGGGGUCAUCCCGACUUACCAAACCGAUGCAAACUCCGAAUACCCAGAAGUGCCGAGCAUGGGAGACACACGGCGGGUGCUAACGUCCGUCGUGAAAAGGGAAACAACCCAGACCGCCAGCUAAGGUCCCAAAGUUGUGGUUAAGUGGUAAACGAUGUGGGAAGGCUUAGACAGCUAGGAGGUUGGCUUAGAAGCAGCCACCCUUUAAAGAAAGCGUAAUAGCUCACUAGUCGAGUCGGCCUGCGCGGAAGAUGUAACGGGGCUCAAACCACACACCGAAGCUGCGGGUGUCACGUAAGUGACGCGGUAGAGGAGCGUUCUGUAAGCCUGUGAAGGUGAGUUGAGAAGCUUGCUGGAGGUAUCAGAAGUGCGAAUGCUGACAUGAGUAACGACAAUGGGUGUGAAAAACACCCACGCCGAAAGACCAAGGGUUCCUGCGCAACGUUAAUCGACGCAGGGUUAGUCGGUUCCUAAGGCGAGGCUGAAAAGCGUAGUCGAUGGGAAACAGGUUAAUAUUCCUGUACUUCUGGUUACUGCGAUGGAGGGACGGAGAAGGCUAGGCCAGCUUGGCGUUGGUUGUCCAAGUUUAAGGUGGUAGGCUGAAAUCUUAGGUAAAUCCGGGGUUUCAAGGCCGAGAGCUGAUGACGAGUCGUCUUUUAGAUGACGAAGUGGUUGAUGCCAUGCUUCCAAGAAAAGCUUCUAAGCUUCAGGUAACCAGGAACCGUACCCCAAACCGACACAGGUGGUCGGGUAGAGAAUACCAAGGCGCUUGAGAGAACUCGGGUGAAGGAACUAGGCAAAAUGGCACCGUAACUUCGGGAGAAGGUGCGCCGGCUAGGGUGAAGGAUUUACUCCGUAAGCUCUGGCUGGUCGAAGAUACCAGGCCGCUGCGACUGUUUAUUAAAAACACAGCACUCUGCAAACACGAAAGUGGACGUAUAGGGUGUGACGCCUGCCCGGUGCCGGAAGGUUAAUUGAUGGGGUUAGCGCAAGCGAAGCUCUUGAUCGAAGCCCCGGUAAACGGCGGCCGUAACUAUAACGGUCCUAAGGUAGCGAAAUUCCUUGUCGGGUAAGUUCCGACCUGCACGAAUGGCGUAACGAUGGCGGCGCUGUCUCCACCCGAGACUCAGUGAAAUUGAAAUCGCUGUGAAGAUGCAGUGUAUCCGCGGCUAGACGGAAAGACCCCGUGAACCUUUACUGUAGCUUUGCACUGGACUUUGAGCCUGCUUGUGUAGGAUAGGUGGGAGGCUUUGAAGCGUGGACGCCAGUUCGCGUGGAGCCAUCCUUGAAAUACCACCCUGGCAUGCUUGAGGUUCUAACUCUGGUCCGUGAUCCGGAUCGAGGACAGUGUAUGNNNNNNNNNNNNNNNNNNNNNNNNNNNNAGUAACGGAGGAGUACGAAGGUGCGCUCAGACCGGUCGGAAAUCGGUCGCAGAGUAUAAAGGCAAAAGCGCGCUUGACUGCGAGACAGACACGUCGAGCAGGUACGAAAGUAGGUCUUAGUGAUCCGGUGGUUCUGUAUGGAAGGGCCAUCGCUCAACGGAUAAAAGGUACUCCGGGGAUAACAGGCUGAUACCGCCCAAGAGUUCAUAUCGACGGCGGUGUUUGGCACCUCGAUGUCGGCUCAUCACAUCCUGGGGCUGAAGCCGGUCCCAAGGGUAUGGCUGUUCGCCAUUUAAAGUGGUACGCGAGCUGGGUUUAGAACGUCGUGAGACAGUUCGGUCCCUAUCUGCCGUGGACGUUUGAGAUUUGAGAGGGGCUGCUCCUAGUACGAGAGGACCGGAGUGGACGAACCUCUGGUGUUCCGGUUGUCACGCCAGUGGCAUUGCCGGGUAGCUAUGUUCGGAAAAGAUAACCGCUGAAAGCAUCUAAGCGGGAAACUUGCCUCAAGAUGAGAUCUCACUGGGAACUUGAUUCCCCUGAAGGGCCGUCGAAGACUACGACGUUGAUAGGCUGGGUGUGUAAGCGUUGUGAGGCGUUGAGCUAACCAGUACUAAUUGCCCGUGAGGCUUGACCAU